rnacentral:rRNA from 1 species
ACGCACGCUGGCGGCGUGCUUAACACAUGCAAGUCGAGCGGUAAGGCUCCUUCGGGAGUACACGAGCGGCGAACGGGUGAGUAACACGUGAGUAAUCUGCCCUUCACUUCGGGAUAACCACCGGAAACGGUGGCUAAUACCGAAUACGACCAGUCUUCGCAUGAGGUGCUGGUGGAAAGUCUUUUCGGUGAAGGAUGUGCUCGCGGCCUAUCAGCUUGUUGGUGGGGUAAUGGCCUACCAAGGCUUCGACGGGUAGCCGGCCUGAGAGGGUGACCGGCCACACUGGGACUGAGACACGGCCCAGACUCCUACGGGAGGCAGCAGUGGGGAAUAUUGGACAAUGGGCGAAAGCCUGAUCCAGCAACGCCGCGUGAGGGAUGACGGCCUUCGGGUUGUAAACCUCUUUCAGUACCGACGAAGCGCCCUGUCGGGUGGUGACGGUAGGUACAGAAGAAGGACCGGCCAACUACGUG